UACGGGGGUGGCUAGCGUUACUCGGAAUUAUUGGGUGUAAAGGGCAAGUAGGCGGUUUAAUAAGUGGGGGGUGAAAUACUCCGGCUCAAUCGGAGAACUGCCUUCCAAACUGUUAGACUUGAGUAUGACAGAGAAUAUGGAAUUCUCGGUGUAAGGGUGAAAUCUGUAGAUAUCGAGAAGAACACCAGCGGCGAAGGCGAUAUUCUGGGCCAUUACUGACGCUAAAUUGCGAAAGCUAGGGGAGCAAACAGA
rnacentral:rRNA from 1 species